GCUUCUUGACUUCAGGCAGGACGCGAGAGACCCCCUGGUGUCCACAGCUCUGUACCCAGAGUGCUGUGCGGCUGCGUGGGCAGUAAGCCCUUUGAGGUGAAGUCCAGGGCGGGAGGGGGGAUGGAGGGCUGUGGGACCGCCGUCCCUUCCAGAGACUGGGGGGAGGCAGCGGGCUGGGAGGGGGUGAGGUGCUGGGCCUGAGGGGGAGGAACUGCAGGGGACUGAGAGGAGUGUUGUUGUUGUUGUUGCUGCGGUGGCGGCGGCGGCGGCUGUUGUUGUUGUUGUUGUGAUGACUGCUUUUUAGCAAAUCUGGGGGGCAGCUUUCCUCCGCCCCCUCUGCCUUUCUCGCUGGCGCCUUUCUUACUCCAGUUCUGCAGGAGCAGUUUGCACAUCAUGCCGCGUCCACAGAAUGAAGGAGAUGGUUGUUGUGUAUUUGCUCACCGCCGGCGGCGUCUGCUCUUCCUUUUUCCGCUUCUCUUCGUCCUGCAGGCGCUUCUGUUGUUUGCGGGAGACGACCUCCGUGAAGCCGUCAUCGUUGGGGUUGGACUGCGGGUCCUCUGUGGUGGUGACCUCCGGGUGGUCAUCGAUGAUCACGACACCUACGGGGACAUUCAGGGACACGGGUCAGAGCAGCUGGACCGAGCGGCCACGCCGCGGCUCCGGAGGACGACGGCGUCGACUCACUGGCGUAGUUGUUGAGAUCGAACUGGGAGAGCGCGUUCUCUUUGGGCUUCUUGGCGGCCUGCUUGGCCUCGUCUUUGCGCCGGCUCUGGUCUUUCGGAGGCCUCUGCGACGCUGCUCCAGCGCCUGGUGCUCCACCUUCUGAGUUCUGCAGCGCUGCAGGGCUGUUGAGCACAGAAAGGAACAAAUCAGGAGCAAAAGAGAAACGACCACCGGGUGCUGAUGAAACACGAGAAUUCAUUCUGUGAUGAGGAUUCUUUAGUCGACCCCCCCACAGGAAGCUUGUCCAUCAGCUUAAUGGUGUGAAGUGUUGGUGUAAACAAAAGGGGCCGUUCACACUCACCCUUUGCGGCCGGUUCUGCCCCCCCCCCUCCUCUCGCCUUUGCCCCCCGUGUAGCUCCGGACCGGUUUGGCAGCGCUGUUGCCUCUGCGGUUCUGCCGCUCCGCAGGUCUCUGACUGGAGAAGCUCCUCUUGGCCGGAGGAGCCCCGUCACGUCUGGGGGUCACCACUCCGUCGGGGGGGCUUUUGUUGGGGGUCAAGGAGCCCUGCGGGGGCGCGGGGGCCGGAGCAGAAGCGUUGGCCGCUUCGCUCGCGGCCUCCAGCGCUCCUCUCCUCUCCUCCCGCUCUCGCCUCUCGUUGAAGUCGCUGCUCUCCGACGCCGUCUCCCACUCCUCGUUGGCCUGAUCAGAGGAGUUCUGGUUGGACAGGUCGUUCGCCGGCAAAGCGGCUGCCGCCUCGGCAGGAAGCGCCACGGGGGCCCUGGACAGGGCGGAGCUACUGGCGGGGAGCAGUGGGACUGGGGGACUAGGGACGGCGUCUCCACUGGCUAACCCCGCAGCCUCCCGCUCCUUCAAGCGCCUAAAGCGGGGGGGUUUAUCUUGCCUGGGGGGCCGCGCCGGUCUGGUCCUACGAGGCCUCUCCCUGCCGCUCUGAGGGGCCACGUCUCCAAAUCGCUUCCCUUCAGGCUUCGGGAAUCGCCGCUCGGCUGCAGGAUUGUCGUAUCUCGGCGAGGACUCGGCGUCCUCGGGCCUGAAGGUCUCCAUGGGCUUGGAGGGCCAAUGGGACGGGGACUCUCUGGCUCCUGGCCGCCUGAGGGGGCCGGGGCGGGGGGCGCCCCGCUCCCUCGCUCCACCUCGUCGGUUGUACAAUCCUCCUCUUCCCCGCCGUGAGGGCUCUCCUUUCGGGAGGAAUCCCGGCUUGGGCCGGCCGUCAUCGUCCCCCCGGGGCCCCGCCCGUUCCCCCACGUGAGGAGGUCCAAAGCCGGGCUUGUGGGGCGCGGGCCGGGCCUCCCCGGGGAGCUCUCGUCUCAGCGGACGAGCGGGUUUGGUGCUGGGCUCGCGGUCCGACGGCCCCGUGUCGCUGGCCGACUCUCGGCCUCCUUCGCUCUCAGAGUCGGUGUCUGAGCCGCGGCGCCGGCGGCGCUUGGGGAUCACCUCAAAGUCGGAGCUCUCGCUGCGCGUCUCGCUCUCCUCCCGGUUGCGGAAGGCAGCGGCGCCCCCGGCGGAGGGCAAGUCCGAGCGGGAGCGGGGCUCUCGGUAAUUGAACUCCGCCCGGCUUCGGCCGCGACCCCCCCGGUUUCGCCCGCUGUAAGUCCCCCGGUAGCUCCGCCCUCUGGAGUAAUACUCCCCCCGGCCGCGUCCUUUGAAAUUAGAGUCGGCGGGCCACUCUCUCUCCCGGUCCUUGUCCAUGUCGGCGUCCUUCUCCCGCUCGUCCCGCCGGUAGGGCCGCGGUGGGAGGCUGGACUCCUUCCUGCAGGGCAGCUUGGGCUCCGGGUGUUUGUCGGCGCUGGGCGGUUUGUCCACCAGCUUCUCCUCCUGGGAGGCGGCGGCGGGGACGACGGACGAGGGCGGCGCGUCUCUGCUUUCCUCCGGCUCGGCGGCGUCCCCCUGGUGCUCCUCCGGAGGCCCGGAGGCCUCGGACACGACAGCAGCGGCAGAAGGAGUUCUGCACGACGGGUCCUUUUUGGGCCGGUCGCCUCGUUCGCCCCUCUCCUGGCGCUUCUCCCUCUCUUCCCUUUGUUCCCGCUCCUCUUUCAUGUCCCGUAGAACAGGCUUCUUAAUGGGUCCGGACCGGCGGGCGGGCCGCUCCCCCCCGGGUCCGUCCCUGCGUGCGGCGCUGGAUCUUGCGGCCCAGCGCAGCUCAGCCUUCUGCUUGCUGGAGGCCGGCAGAGGCAGCUUCUCUUGUUUGUGUAAGCCGUCAGCAGGGGGCGUCGCCCUGUUGCCGCUCACCGCAGCUUGUGGGUGUUGGUUCUGGGGUUCAUCGUCGGGCCGCUCGCCGUCCUGCAGCGCCUCCGAUUUCACCCCCAGGGGCAGCGCGUCGGACCGGGGCUCGUCCAGCUGCAGGAGGCUGGUGUUCUGGGAGCGGACGCAGACGCCCCUCUGGCCGGGCGCCUCCACCUCCCCCCCACUGGGUGGGCGCGGCUCCUCGGGGUCAAAGGCCGGGCCCACGGGCCCUCGGUCUAGCAGCAGCGGCACGUCCUCUGGGCGCUGGGUAAACGCCGACAGGGACUCUGUGGUGUCCUGGAAGAAGUCACUUGCACUGUGGUCCUGAGGGUACAUGGCCGGUAGAACCCGGUCCAGAUCCAACGCAGACUCCAUCC
ensembl:lncRNA